AAUACUGGAAUUAAUUGCGAUUUUGGCUUCUCUUUUGCCGUCUUUACGCUACGAUUUCCUGCCGCCCAACCCUAUUGUUGUUGUUGAUUGCUUGCCGUUGAACUCAAAUUGAAGGUUCACGAGACGUCUGGUGGUUGUCAGACUAAACACAGCGCUUGUGGAUACAUCAUUGUUGGAUAUGACCAGAUUGAUACCCUUUUACAAUACAUAAUGCCCCUGCAUGGCUGCAUGGUGAUAAUGACUUGGAUUAGAGUCCCUGAGCAGCAAAGUUUUCUGAGAGCUUGAUCAUACUAUACACUGUGACUGAAAAGAGGGAUUGUAUUGUAUUGUAUGCACUGCAUGAAAACAUUUGUAUUACAAGUAGAGAUGUGAUCUUAUCUUGCUAUGCUCCAUACCACUCCUAUUAUAUCACAUGCAUCAGUAACCAGUCACACACUCACUGCAGUCUAUAGUUUUGAGUAACUCAUUGUCCAGUAAUGAAUCACCAAUCAAUUUCUCACUUAAAAAAGCCUAAGUACACUAAACCUUUUGCCUGGCUUAAACCAAUGAGAUGUUUAAUGGUGACAAAAUAUUUGCCACGGUUAAUGUUUUUCUCCUUACAAGCUCUGUUUUCAGUGUAUCUUGUAACUGCAAGCAAAACACAAUAUGUAGCAUGUUUCUAAGAUUUUAUAGACUUUCUGAUCUUUUUGAUUACCUGUUACUACUAACAAUAUUUAGAGUUAGACUUUACUACAAAGCCUCGUUCAAAAAAGCAAGUAUUUGCCAGCACUAAUAGUUUGAUGAGAAUGAAUCCUACUCAUAAGUAUUGUGGAUUUGACUCUUAAUCUAGAAUGAAGUUCUCCGUUAUGUUAUAUAUAUAUAUGUCUGUUUUUACACCCCAAGCAUGCUGCCAUAAACAAACACUUGUCUAUCUGUAUAGCUACUCCUUAAUUUCAACUAAUUUUCUACUGUUUCUUUCACUUUUCCAGUAUUACCUUAACUUCUAAGCACAUAUUUGUCUGAGAACAUUUUGAAACAAACAAUUUGAUCUACAAUUUUUUGUCAGAAAAAACAAACAAACUUGAUUCCAUCAUAAAACUUACAUUGUUAGAAAAUAACAAUUUCAUGUUGGAAAAUUACAAUGAAAUGAACUAAGAUAACUGAAGGAAAUGUGUAAGAAAAGACAGAAUAAACACGGCAAGAUCCAAACAUCUACAGGAAAAAAUAAUACAAGAAAUUGAUUUCAUUUACAUGGCUACUUCCUGUGGAGAAACAAAUAAAGUAGGAAGGGUGCUGAGUAGCAGCAGAAAAUAAACGUAUUGUAAAAUAGGUCAAAAGUAGCAGAUGUAUUGCACAAACACCCACUGAAUACAUGAGAAGUUGAAGAAUAAGAACAAACAACAUAUCUUUCCUUAUAACUUCUACAUACAACAUAUGUAAAUCACAUUUUCAGAAAGAUAUCAUCACAACGCCAGAUUAAAUCCAAAUUAGGAAAUUAUUACUUACUGUCACUGGACCUGCAAUUAAAUAAAUCUUUGAAGAUCUUA